rnacentral:rRNA from 1 species
UACGAAGGGUGCAAGCGUUAAUCGGAAUUACUGGGCGUAAAGCGUGCGUAGGCGGUUUGUUAAGUCUGUUGUGAAAUCCCCGGGCUCAACCUGGGAAUGGCAAUGGAUACUGGCAAGCUAGAGUGUGUCAGAGGAUGGUGGAAUUCCCGGUGUAGCGGUGAAAUGCGUAGAGAUCCGGAAGAACACCGGUGGCGAAGGCGGCUCGCUGGGCAGUGGCUGACGCUGAGGCGCGACAGCGUGGGGAGCAAACAGG